rnacentral:rRNA from 1 species
UUUAAAUAGCUGCAGUAAUUUAACUGUACAAAGGUAGCAUAAUAAUUAGUCUUUUAAUUGAGGUCUAGAAUGAAUGGUUUAACAAGAAGAUUACUUUAUUAGUUUAAUUAAGUUUAAUUUAAUUUUUUAGUUAAAAAGCUAAAAUAAUUAAUUGGGACGAUAAGACCCUAUAGAUCUUAAAUUUUUUUUUUUAAAUUUAAUGUAUUUAGUUAAUUUAACUAAUUUAAAUUAAAAAUUUUAGUUGGGGUGAUUUGAAAAUUUUUAAAACUUUUUAAUAUUAUUUACAUUUAUAAUUGAAUUUUUUUUUGAUCUUUAUUUUUUGAUUAUUAGAUUAAGAUACCUUAGGGAUAACAGCGUGAUAAAUUUGGGUAGUUCAUAUUGAUAAAUUUUGAUUACGACCUCGAUGUUGAAUUAAUUUAAAGUUUUGAAGGAGAAAUUGAAUAUUUUAGGUCUGUUCGACCUUUAAUUAAUUACA